rnacentral:rRNA from 1 species
GACGAACGCUGGCGGCAGGCUUAACACAUGCAAACCGAACGAGAUCUUCGGAUCUAGUGGCAGACGGGUGAGGAACACGUGGGAACAUCCCUUUCAGUUCGGAAUAACGUUGGGAAACUAACGCUAAUACCGGAUACGUCCUUCGGGAGAAAGAUUUAUCGCUGAAAGAUUGGCCCGCGUCGGAUUAGCUAGUUGGUGAGGUAAUGGCUCACCAAGGCUACGAUCAGUAGCUGAUCUGAGAGGAUGAUCAGCCACAUUGGGACUGAGACACGGCCCAAACUCCUACGGGAGGCAGCAGUGGGGAAUAUUGGACAAUGGGCGCAAGCCUGAUCCAGCCAUGCCGCGUGAGUGAUGAAGGCCUUCGGGUUGUAAAGCUCUUUUAUCCGGGAAGAUAAUGACUGUACCGGAAGAAUAAGCCCCGGCAAACUUCGUGCCAGCCGCCGCAGUAAAAC